rnacentral:rRNA from 1 species
AGAUUGAACGCUGGCGGCAGGCCUAACACAUGCAAGUCGAGCGGUAGAGAGGUGCUUGCAUCUCUUGAGAGCGGCGGACGGGUGAGUAAUGCCUAGGAAUCUGCCUAGUGGUGGGGGAUAACGUUCGGAAACGGACGCUAAUACCGCAUACGUCCUACGGGAGAAAGCGGGGGACCUUCGGGCCUCGCGCCAUUAGAUGAGCCUAGGUCGGAUUAGCUAGUUGGUAGAGGUAAUGGCUCACCAAGGCGACGAUCCGUAACUGGUCUGAGAGGAUGAUCAGUCACACUGGAACUGAGACACGUCCAGACUCCUAGGGAGCAGCAGGUGGGAAUAUUAGGACAAGUGGGACGAAAGCCCGAUCCAGCCGAUCGCCGCGUGGUAGUAGGUAAGUAACGGUCGUUCGGUAUUUAG